GGCGCCUUAGGAUGGAUCUGCGGCCGAUUAGGUCGUGUUGGGUAACGGCCCAACAAGCCGAUAAUCGGUACGGUGUGGAGCAAGAGCCCGGAGUUGGAUUCUGAGACACGAAUCCAGGCCCUACGGGGCGCAGCAGGCGCGAAAACUUUACAAUGCGGGCAACCGUGAUAAGGGAACCUCGAGUGCCUGUACAUGCAGGCUGUCUGGGUGUCUAAAACACACCCAAAGAAAGGGCCGGGCAAGACCGGUGCCAGCCGCCGCGGUAAUACCGGCGGCUCGAGUGGUGGCCACUUUUAUUGGGCUUAAAGCGUUCGUAGCUGGGUUGUUAAGUCUCUUGGGAAAUCUGGCAGCUUAACUGUCAGGCGUCUAAGAGAUACUGGCAAUCUAGGAACCGGGAGAGGUGAGGGGUACUUCGGGGGUAGGAGUGAAAUCCUGUAAUCCUCGAGGGACCACCUGUGGCGAAGGCGCCUCACCAGAACGGCUUCGACAGUGAGGGACGAAAGCUGGGGGAGCAAACCGGAUUAGAUACCCGGGUAGUCCCAGCCGUAAACGAUGCGCGUUAGGUGUGUCGAUGACCACGAGUCAUCGAGGUGCCGAAGGGAAACCGUGAAACGCGCCGCCUGGGAAGUACGGUCGCAAGGCUGAAACUUAAAGGAAUUGGCGGGGGAG
rnacentral:rRNA from 1 species